UGUAAAGAGUGGUAAUGUUAAACAUCAGUAUGACACAUAACAAAGAGGUAAGGACAGCAAAACGUCAACAGUUGAAGUUUUCCUGUGAAUCAACCAACAAAUUUUUUGUGAGAUCUAAGGCACCGCAAGAGAAAGCAACUGAAGAUUCUCCGAGCAGCCUGCGUGCUGGUGACGGCGCUACAGCCAUGACUGAGAAGGGAGCAGUCCAGCAUCUGAAAGAGCACCACCCAGACCUGCUGUCAUACCGCUGCAUAAUACACCAGUCAGCGCUGUGUGCCAGUCUCGGAAAAGAAUACUGAGAUGUCGUGGAGAAUAUGAUGAAGCUCGUGAACUACCUGAGAGCCUCCUCUGCCCUUCAGCAGCGUCUUCUGCGAGCAUUCCUGACUGAGGUCAGUGCAUGAUGACUUACUCCUCCAUAACAAUGUGAGCGGACUGAGUAAGGCAAGGGUCCUGGAGAUGUUUUGGGCUGUCAGAAAAGACCUGGAGAUAUAGAAGAUUGAUCAGAGCAGAAGAAUG